AACGAACGCUGGCGGCAUGCCUAACACAUGCAAGUCGAACGAGACCUUCGGGUCUAGUGGCGCACGGGUGCGUAACGCGUGGGAACCUGCCCUUAGGUUCGGAAUAACUCCCCGAAAGGGGUGCUAAUACCGGAUAAUGUCUUCGGACCCAAGAUUUAUCGCCUUUGGAUGGGCCCGCGUUGGAUUAGCUAGUUGGUAGGGUAAAAGCCUACCAAGGCGACGAUCCAUAGCUGGUCUGAGAGGAUGAUCAGCCACACUGGGACUGAGACACGGCCCAGACUCCUACGGGAGGCAGCAGUGGGGAAUAUUGGACAAUGGGCGAAAGCCUGAUCCAGCAAUGCCGCGUGAGUGAUGAAGGCCUUAGGGUUGUAAAGCUCUUUUACCCGGGAUGAUAAUGACAGUACCGGGAGAAUAAGUUCCGGCUAACUCCGUG
rnacentral:rRNA from 1 species